UCUUUACACAGAAGAAAUCUGUGGGACUGA
rnacentral:piRNA from 1 species